CGAACGAGAGAUGAGGAGCUUGCUCUUCAAAUCGAGUGGCGAACGGGUGAGUAACGCGUGAGGAACCUGCCUCAAAGAGGGGGACAACAGUUGGAAACGACUGCUAAUACCGCAUAAGCCCACGGCUCGGCAUCGAGCAGAGGGAAAAGGAGUGAUCCGCUUUGAGAUGGCCUCGCGUCCGAUUAGCUAGUUGGUGAGGUAAUGGCCCACCAAGGCGACGAUCGGUAGCCGGACUGAGAGGUUGAACGGCCACAUUGGGACUGAGACACGGCCCAGACUCCUACGGGAGGCAGCAGUGGGGAAUAUUGCACAAUGGGGGAAACCCUGAUGCAGCGACGCCGCGUGGAGGAAGAAGGUCUUCGGAUUGUAAACUCCUGUUGUUGAGGAAGAUAAUGACGGUACUCAACAAGGAAGUGACGGCUAACUACGUGCCAGCAGCCGCGGUAAAACGUAGGUCACAAGCGUUGUCCGGAAUUACUGGGUGUAAAGGGAGCGCAGGCUGGAGAACAAGUUGGAAGUGAAAUCCAUGGGCUCAACCCAUGAACUGCUUUCAAAACUGUUUUUCUUGAGUAGUGCAGAGGUAGGCGGAAUUCCCGGUGUAGCGGUGGAAUGCGUAGAUAUCGGGAGGAACACCAGUGGCGAAGGCGGCCUACUGGGCACCAACUGACGCUGAGGCUCGAAAGUGUGGGUAGCAAACAGGAUUAGAUACCCUGGUAGUCCACACCGUAAACGAUGAUUACUAGGUGUCGGAGGAUUGACCCCUUCAGUAAGGGAGUUAACACAAUA
rnacentral:rRNA from 1 species